UAUCCUUGCUAAACACCCAGGAGUUAAAUGGUUGAGGCACACAGUAUAUCUAGUCUUAGUUUUCUGAGGAGCCUCCACAGUAAUGCUUACAAUGGAUGCACACAGUCACGUUCCAUUCCAAGUGUUCCAAGUGCUUGAGAUGGAAUCACAGUGUAAUCCUGUGGACACUUCAACAGCAAUGAGUGAACGGGCACUUGCUCAGAAGAGACUCAGUGAGAAUGCAUUUGAUCUUGAAGCCAUGAGUAUGUUAAACCGAGCUCAAGAACGGGACUUGAUUGAAGAAAUGAUCAAAACACAUUGGGGAAACUUUUAAUAGCCCCAAUAGGAAACACAUUUGAUGACCAACAAAAAAGAACAGAAAAGACUGGGCGUUAUGAAGGCUUUACAGGAAGAAACGUUCUAAGAAAGACAAGCUAGAUUGCGAUUAGUGGGGAUUCACAACUGUAGGUUUUCUGAAGUAGCUAUAGAUGGUCUGCUGGAAGGUAGUAGAAUCAAAUCUCUCUGAUUGCCCAGUACAUUCUUUUCUACCUAUGCAGCCAGGAAAUGGAGCCAUCUCUGUCUCCUGAACUCUUUCAAUCACAAAAGAACCCUGCAGAGAGCAAAAGAACGACCUAACAUCUAUAGGAUUAUUUUAUAUUCAUCAGGGACCACCCAACAUGUGCAAACAAACCUAGUAGCCAAUUUAUUAUAUGAACAAACAAAAUGCAAGUACCACGAAAAGGAAUUACAGAGAUAAAGCAGCAAAACUCAUGUGUGACCUCCCUGGAAACAUGAAUUCAGUAGGUAUAAGGCAGUGUUCAACGCAACAGUUAACAUUUUUCCUCAGAGACAUUUGAGAAGACAUCACUUUUACAUAAGUAGAUGAGCUGCAAUGAAAAGGGGCUUCCUGAAAUUCUAGGAUAAACAUGUUUAUCCAACUUAAAACCCAUAAACUCAGGUUGGCAGGUAGAAUGGACACUUGGAAUGUUGGGAAAUUCAGACAUAGAAUCAUUCAAGAACCCAGAGGGGUGAAAAGAGGGCAUCAUGGUUUAAGCAGCAACAAACUGGCAAGCUUGCACAAAAGACUAAAGCAGCAUCGAUUUUCUGAACUGAAGAAGUAGGGAGGGAGUUAUUUUAAAAGAGGUGACCAGGUUACAACAAUCAUUGCACAUGGGCAAACGCACAAAGCUUCAAAGUAAACAUCUAGAAAGAAAA